UACGUGAGGUGCAAGCGUUAUCCGGAUUUACUGGGCGUAAAGCGUUCCGUCGGUGACCUAACAAGUCUUCUGUUUAAGCCUAGGGCUCAACUCUAGAAAAGCAGGGGAAACUGUUAGGAUUGAGUUUGUUCGGGGAAGCUGGAAUUCUCGGUGGAGGGGUGAAAUCCGUAGAUAUCGAGAGGAACACCAGUCGCGAAGGCGGGCUUCUAGGACACAACUGACACUCAGGGACGACAGCUAGGGGAGCAAAAGGG
rnacentral:rRNA from 1 species